UACGUAGGGUGCAAGCGUUAAUCGGAAUUACUGGGCGUAAAGCGUGCGCAGGCGGUUUUGUAAGUCUGUCGUGAAAGCCCCGGGCUCAACCUGGGAAUUGCGAUGGAGACUGCAAGGCUUGAAUCUGGCAGAGGGGGGUAGAAUUCCACGUGUAGCAGUGAAAUGCGUAGAGAUGUGGAGGAACACCGAUGGCGAAGGCAGCCCCCUGGGUCAAGAUUGACGCUCAUGCACUAAAGCGUGGGGAGCAAACAGG
rnacentral:rRNA from 1 species